GUCUGCAACUCGACUACAUGAAGCUGGAAUCGCUAGUAAUCGCGAAUCAGAAUGUCGCGGUGAAUACGUUCCCGGGUCUUGUACACACCGCCCGUCACACCAUGGGAGUUGGGAAUGCCCGAAGCCGGUGACCUAACCGAAAGGGAGGAGCCGUCGAAGGCAGGCUUGAUAACUGGGGUGAAGUCGUAACAAGGUACC
rnacentral:rRNA from 1 species